UACGGAGGAUGCGAGCAUUAUCCGGAUUUAUUGGGUUUAAAGAGUGCGUAGGCGGAUCGUUAAGUCAGUGGUCAAAUUGAGGGGCUCAACCCCUUCCCGCCAUUGAAACUGGCGAUCUUGAGUGGAAGAGAAGUAUGCGGAAUGCGUGGUGUAGCGGUGAAAUGCAUAGAUAUCACGCAGAACCCCGAUUGCGAAGGCAGCAUGCCGGCUUCCGACUGACGCUGAAGCACGAAAGCGUGGGGAUCGAACAGG
rnacentral:rRNA from 1 species